rnacentral:rRNA from 1 species
UACAGAGGUCUCAAGCGUUGUUCGGAUUCAUUGGGCGUAAAGGGCGCGUAGGCGGCGGGGUAAGUCGGGUGUGAAAUCUCAGAGCUCAACUCUGAAAUGGCACUUGAUACUGCUCUGCUAGAGGACUGGAGAGGAGAUUGGAAUUCACGGUGGAGCGGUGAAAUGCGUUGAUAUCAUUAGGAACUCCGGUGGCGAAGGCGGCUCGCUGGAUCUUUUCUGACGCUGAGGCGCGAAAGCUAGGGGAGCAAACGGG